AUUGAUUAACAUUAUUAUUAAUAUAAUACAUUAGGUAUUAACUAAAUUAAUAAGUAUGGAAUAAUUAUUUUUUAAUGAGGUAAUUAGGAUAUUUUUUAUUAUUUUAAUAAGAUUAUUAUUUUAAUUAGUCAGACUUAUUGAUAAUAUUUAUAUUUUUGUUUAAUGGGUUGGUCAAGGGUUGACCGAACCAAAGCCCCAGUCCACUUCAGUUGGGCCAGUUUGGAUGACCCAAUGUCCAAGUGAGUCGGGUCAGGAUUGACCCAACUCUGUCGUUGAACCGAGUCAAGUCCAUGACCCAGAAUCAUUCCCAAUUCCUCAUUCCACCCCAGAAACCCUAAUUGGCGUGCAUGAUUGGCAAUAGAGUAAAUCAAAAGUUGUACAAUUUCAAAUUCACUCAAAAACAUCCAUUAAUAUAUUUUAAUCAUAUCAAUUACAAAUUGGAAACCCUAAUUUCUAAUUACAAUCAAAUAGCAAUCAAAUCCUAAAACUCCUAAUACAAAUCAAUCAAAUAUCAAUCAGGUUACAAAUUUCCAAUACAUCAAUCUAAUUAAAAUCAAAACCCUAAAACUAAUCUAUAAAUAACCUAAAUAAAAAUCAGAAUGAGGAAGAAAAAAUUUAGAACCCUAAGCACAUUAUUGCCUCUGCAAAACCCUAAAACAGAAUGUUGUACUUGAUUGUGGGUUUUUUUAUUGUGGUAGUUGUUCAGGGUUUGAUUUUAGGGGAAAGGUUAGGGUAUACUAAAAAGGGGUUUAGGGUUAGGGUUGUAAUUUUUUUAUUUGAUUUUGAGAAUUUGGAGGUUUAAUUAAGGUACAGGGAAGGUCGGUUUAUGGAUCUGCCAAGGUUUUGUGUGGAUCUGAGUGGAAGAAGGUGAGAUUUGGGCAGAGGUUAGGGUUUGGUGGAGGUAGAAGAUGAAUAUUCAUCUUCUUAUGGUUAAGGUUCCUCACAAAGUUGUUAGGGUUCAUCUGAACCCAACUAGGGUUCAUCAUCCAGGGUUAGGUUUUAAAGGGUUUUGGGUUAGGGUUCUUGAAAUGUGCAGGGAUCUGGAAAUUCCAAAUGAAGGUUUGAAGUUUCUAGUUGAACUUCAAUCGAAAAUUGGGGUUUAGUGGUGGUUUUAGGGGCGGUUGUGGGUUGAGGGUGGUGGUCGAAGGAAGGCUCAUAGAAGAAGAAAGAAGAGAGAGCGAGAGGGAAUAGAGAGAAGGAGAGUGAGGAAAUGAAAUGGAAAACGGGGGGAAAUGGAUUAUAUACACCCCAUGGAUGGUGCUUGGUGAGAGACACAUGGGUCUCUCUCAGCCAAUGAAAUUGCAUAGUCUGACCAAUCUUAGUAUACAUGCGUCCAUCAUAUGUCGUGUUGACUCUAAAUAUCAACCUUUCAUUGUGUUUACCUUGACCAGUAUACCAAACUAGUGGUUGUGAUAUGAACUACCUUGAUCCCUUAGAUUGCUAUCAGACGCCCUAGAGAGAGUCAAUUGUUGACUCUCUCUCAUGGACCCUCCCUCCAGCGUGAGCCUCCAAAAGAAAAUGGGCCUAGGCCCUAUUGCUUUUCACAAACCCCUCUCAAAAGGCCAAUUGCUAUUUCAAUACGAAAUACAACCCCAUGUCCUUUUUAUUUAAUUUAUCUCAUUUAACUUAUUUUCUUAAUAAAUAGUUUUGUUAAUUUAUUUCUAUAAUUAGCAAUUAAUCAAUAAUUAAUUAAAUUAGCUAAUAACUAAUUUUAAUAAUUAAGGGUUUAUUUUAUUUCUAAUCAAUAAAUAAAAAAUAAAAAAAUAUAUAUAUGUUUUAUAAUUAGGGUUUAUUAGGAUAAUUCUGUGAUUAAUCUUCAGGUUUGCAUUUAGACGUCAUUAGGGUUAAUUAGGGGUUUAAUCAGGAUGAUGUUAAUAUUUCUUUUGUUAAUAAAUUAUAUGUAAUAUCUUAAUAAAUAUAUAGCAUUUGACUUAAUUUAUAAUUAACGUAUUUGUAAUAUUUUUGCAAUUAACAAACUAACUAAAAUCAACUCGACACAUUCAAAUUCUAAGUCAUCUGCCCUUGUGCGUUGAGGAAUUUUCAAAUUAAACACUUUCUUUGCCCCCGAUUCGUUGAGAUUCUUUUAAAGAUCUAAAAUCAAACAAACAAACAAACAUUUUUAGAAGAACUAUGUUGCUUUGAUCCUUCAUCUAACAUGAAGGUACGUAGGCACAAAGUCGUAGCACUCUAGCGAAUAUGAUAACCAAAAACUUUUUCUUUGUCUUUAUGUAAUAAUAAAUUUUUUCUAUGAAUAAUAACUUAAGCCUUUGUAAAUAAAUAACAUAAGCAAACUUUCC
rnacentral:lncRNA from 1 species